ACUGAGGACCAAGAAGUCUGACUCUGAUGGAGCAGGCCUUUGCUGAUCCCUCCUCCUAGACAGAGGGGUGAAGAAAGCAGCCCUGACUGGAGAAAACCAGAGGGCUGAGUGUACGACCCAACAUUU